AGGAAAGGGAGGGAUUCGAACC
rnacentral:tRNA from 30 species